GAAAUGCGAUAAGUAAUGUGAAUUGCAGAAUUCAGUGAAUCAUCGAAUCUUUGAACGCACAUUGCGCCCGCCAGUAUUCUGGCGGGCAUGCCUGUUCGAGCGUCAUUUCAACCAUCAAGCCCCGCGCUUGUGUUGGGGACCUGCGGCUGCCGCAGGCCCUGAAAACCAGUGGCAGGCUCGCUGUCACACCGGGCGUAGUAGAUUUUAUCUCGCUCAGGGCGUGCUGCGGGUUCCGGCCGUUAAAAAGCCUUUUUUACCCAAGGUUGACCUCGGAUCAGGUAGGAAGACCCGCUGAACUUAAGC
rnacentral:misc_RNA from 1 species